rnacentral:piRNA from 1 species
UGGGUACAGGAGGAUAGUGGCCAA